UAACACGUGAGUAACCUGCCCCCGAGAGCGGGAUANCCCUGGGAAACUGGGAUUAAUACCGCAUAGUAUCGAAAGAUUAAAGCAGCAAUGCGCUUGGGGAUGGGCUCGCGGCCUAUUAGUUAGUUGGUGAGGUAACGGCUCACCAAGGCGAUGACGGGUAGCCGGUCUGAGAGGAUGUCCGGCCACACUGGAACUGAGACACGGUCCAGACACCUACGGGUGGCAGCAGUCGAGAAUCAUUCACAAUGGGGGAAACCCUGAUGGUGCGACGCCGCGUGGGGGAAUGAAGGUCUUCGGAUUGUAAACCCCUGUCAUGUGGGAGCAAAUUAAAAAGAUAGUACCACAAGAGGAAGAGACGGCUAACUCUGUGCCAGCAGCCGCGGUAAUACAGAGGUCUCAAGCGUUGUUCGGAAUCACUGGGCGUAAAGCGUGCGUAGGCUGUUUCGUAAGUCGUGUGUGAAAGGCGCGGGCUCAACCCGCGGACGGCACAUGAUACUGCGAGACUAGAGUAAUGGAGGGGGAACCGGAAUUCUCGGUGUAGCAGUGAAAUGCGUAGAUAUCGAGAGGAACACUCGUGGCGAAGGCGGGUUCCUGGACAUUAACUGACGCUGAGGCACGAAGGCCAGGGGAGCGAAAGGGAUUAGAUACCCCUGUAGUCCUGGCAGUAAACGGUGCACGCUUGGUGU
rnacentral:rRNA from 1 species